rnacentral:rRNA from 1 species
GAUCCUGGCUCAGGAUGAACGCUAGCUACAGGCUUAACACAUGCAAGUCGAGGGGAAACGACAUCGAAAGCUUGCUUUUGAUGGGCGUCGACCGGCGCACUGGUGAGUAACGCGUAUCCAACCUGCCCACCACUUGGGGAUAACCUUGCGAAAGUAAGACUAAUACCCAAUGGUAUCUCUGGAAGACAUCUGAAAGGGAUUAAAGAUUUAUUGGUGAUGGAUGGGGAUGCGUCUGAUUAG